UUACACAAGCAGUUCACCGUAGAUGGUAAGCUGUGUAUCAAUGCGAAAAGCGAGGUGUGCAGUGAUAUUUGCUCUAAUUGUUGUAUACGCGUAGCAAGUGCGUACAUUUAUUGAUUUACAUUGUGAAGGAUUAGUACUGACCUCUGGCUCGGUAGUCGGCAUCCCUAUGAAAACGUAUUGAAGAUCAGAUCUGUUAUAAACCGAAAAUAUGGAGUUAUACCGGAAGUAUCCUGUGGUUUGCACAGUAUGGGCCUUUAUGGAAGUUGUACUGUUUGGCGGUGUGAUAUUUGGAUGGGGAUCUCUAGUAUUUAUUCUCAAAGAGGAAGGAUUUUAUUCAGACUAUUGCACGGAGAAUGACAUUGGCAACAACUCUGAUUACUUAUCACCCAAUCAGUUUCCUUAUUUGACAUUGUCUAACAAUUCAUUGGAUGAAAAAUCUUAUGACGUCAUUAUCGCUGAUGACAAAAACAGCACGGCGACGUUCCGGAGAACCACGGAGAACAGAACGACACUGCAUGGAGGGUGUCCGGCACAGGAAUCUAAGCUGAAUCUCUGGUUUUCCAUAGCAGUCAGCUCCAUGUACUUGUCUUUGGCAGGCGUUGGUUACUUGAUAAGACACAUUGGCACGAGAAACACAAGAGUAAUAUUUUUCUUUAUUUACUUGAUUGGAACACUAUGUUUGGCGUUCACAAGUCCAGAAAUACCAUGGCUACUUCUACCCGGCUUAUCCUGUAUUGGAAUCGCUGGACUGACCGUUCUCGCCACAAAUCUACAGGUAUCGAAUCUUCAUCCUCACCUGCGAUCAACGAUUGUUGCUAUAUUCACUGGGUUGUUUGACUUUUCCUCUAUCAACAAACAGAUUAUAAGGAUUGCUUACGAAAGUGGUAUCGCGAGACGGACGUCAUAUAUUUUUAUCUCUGUAUUGUUUGCGGUUAUUGUCGCGACGAGCACGUUGUUUUUUCUACCCAAGAUGAAUAUCAGUGAGGACUACAUGAAGGAGCAGAAAAGAAGACGAAACAGCUGCAAGCAAGAGAAGAAGCUGGUCAGAAAUAAUGACGAUAGUUCUCCACAGCCGGCGGAAAAAAUCGAUGAAGAGCUUCUGAAAGUGCACGAAAAGGAGCUUGGUGUCAUGAAUGGCAGUGUGGAUCUCGCAGCGGCAGAUGGUUCGUCUAAACCAUCACUGUUAUCCGUUGUUUUCUCUGUGACAUAUAUGUUACACCUCUACUGGCUGUUUGUGCACGCUCUGAGAUUCGUUACGUUUAUUGGACAGAUAAAUGUGUGGCUGGAGAAUAUCUUCGACGGAAAUGAAGCCAAAGUUGGAGAAAUGCUUGCUAUAUUCUCAUACAUGACAAUGGGGGCUAUUGGUUCUGCGUUGCUGUGUGGUUUUGUAUAUGAUUAUCAGCGUAAAAGAUACGUCAGAAUGUCCUUGAAUCAGUAUUGCCAUAUAAGCUGAUGUUGUGAGAAUUUCUGGUUUUGUGAAGAUCGCUCUGGUAAAAUACGUUGAAAAUUGUAGAAAACACUUCUGUAUUUGAAAAUGCUGGUGAAAUCAAACGUGUUUACAUUCCUGUAGUGCUACCAAUGUGUUUGGUCAUCUUCUACUCUGUAGGCACUACAAUACUCUGCUAUAUCAAACACGAAGUCGCCCCGUAUUUUGCAUUUGUACUGUUCACCU